CAAUUUUUAUAUAAAUGCCCAGACAAUUCUUAGAAUCUUUUUAAAAUGCUGAUGACAGAUUAAGAACAGCUCCCAGCUUGGGGUUUUGGAAAUACUGAGGUUUUCCAAGUUGCCAGUCCAGCAGGAGGAGUUCCAGCGUGCCUGUGGCUGUGUGCAGCAUCCUCUCCUUCAGCCAGCUCAGGGCUGCUGGUGGCAGCUGCUCCCAGGAUGUGGCCACAUGUAGGGUAUGACCUGGGGAAAGUGAAAAAGGAGUCUGUAACUUUAGCAAGAACAUUUUUAUUGACUCAUGAAAUGAAAUAACUAUAAGAUGUAAAAAGCUAUUAAAAAAUUGCUAGCCUUACAAAAAUGGGGGAGAUUGGUUUUUAACAUAUAGGUGCAGAGGUAUCUUUAAAAAUCUGUAAUUCUGAGCUGGAAAUACGACUGAGACAAGUCUUGAAAUUAGAUAUUUAAUUACCAAAUCAAUUUUGCUAAAAAGAUCCAGAGUUUGCAAUUGAUUUCAUUAUCCUCUGCUGAGCCACCAGUGAAACCCCUGGUUAUAACUGGUGCUGCUGUGUUGGUUUGCUGUGGGUCCCAUCAGCAAAUUAUUGUGAUUAUAACAGACUUUGCAUGCUAAAAGUGAAGAACUUGACAUUCCAAAAGCAACAUCCUUUCUGUUUUCUCUGAUAGAGAUAACUAGUUUAUUCCUAGGUGUAAAAGCAAAAGCAUUUUGUGUUGUGUUGAGUGGUUGUGUUAAUGUGGCAGUGAGGAGAAGGGCUGGUGUGUAAUGCUUCACACUUUGCAGGGCAGAAAUCAGCCAGUAUUUACCUUAGGGGCUGUGAUAUUUGGACAGGAAUUCCAAAGAGAAGUAUCAUAGUGAACUUCUGCUGACUCUGACAGGUUUGCAGGAUCAGUGCCUCACUUUAGUAAGAGAGAUGCUGCUUGCUGAUGGCCAGGAGCCCUAAUGGUAUCCAGGGAAACCCGACUGCCUGCAGUAAUUCACAGGGUGGUCACUGUCACAUGCAGGAGUGUGCAAAACCAUCUACGUGUGGCUUGAUCUUUGGGGUAAAUUUGCUUUAGAGCUGAGGGCACUUGCUGUGCCAGCCCCUGCAGCAGACAGACUCCAGGUCCACUUGGACAAAAACUGGGCGAUUUGCAGUGGUUUAGAGAUCUCUUUUCCCUGGGGAAAAGAAGAACUAGCAUGUCAUUAAGUAGAGGUUGUGGAAGAAUUAAAGCACUCAAUAAGAUGUGAUGUUCUCCCCAGCUCAGUGAUUACAGGCUCUUCUCAUAAAAGCUGCCAUAUUCCCUCUGCCUCUAGCACAAUUCAGAUACCCUGAAAAAAAGCCUUUCUCAUAAUCUUUUUUCUAUAUUUUCUUCACUGGGCUCUUGAAAUUCAUUUUAUGAACAUCAGUUUGUUCUGUAUUGUACUUUGCCAAGAUUAUUAUCCUUAAGGAACAGGAGGUGAAACCGCAGAGCAAGGAGAUGAGGUGAGUCACUUCUGGCCAUAUAGACAUUUAAAUAGUUGCAGAAUUGGAAGGGACAUAUUUUCCUCUCAACAGUGUUUGUGGGGAAAAAAAUAUAUGCCAGUAAUCUGAAUUUAGCUCUCCAUUACUGCUUGUAACACCACCAGGGGUAAAUAUUUUGCUCACAAACACCUACAAUUAAGAACAUGGGCAUCUUUAGAUUGCAGGAUAUGUAAUUAAUCUUCCCCCAGACUUUCAGACAAUAUAAGGUGGAUGUGAAUGAAAACACUAUGAUCACAUCUGUAUUUUAAGAAAGAAUAACCAGGUCUGAAUCAGAGGUUUUUCAUUGCUUACAUUGCUACUAAGGACCCACUAGAUGAGAAAAUAGAAGAUGGCAUCACAAUGGAUAUUUUUUAUAUGAGUGAUCCAGUUGCUUGGGUUUUUUUGUCAGUUUUUUAUUAUUAAUUAUUCUGCUGAGAAUAUCUGCCCUGGGACAAACAAAGCAGUCAGCUCUCAACGGCAGCAAAAUAAAUCUCAGUCCAGGGCAACACAAAUUGGGAAGAAGCUCCAGAGAGUGGUGCUGUUUGAAAUAAAUUGAGGAAAUAUUUUAAAAGCUUGCAUAGAAGAGCAGGGUUUUGCCAGCUAUUACAAUUGGACUUCAGAGUAACUGCUGAGUGGGUAAUUAGUCCCACGGGAACACAGGAGUCUGGACAAAUGUAAAAAGGAACAAGAGGGGAAAAAAGCGUAUGAAGAAUUAACUUUGGAAAACAAGCUAGAACAUUAGUCACAGGAGAGAUAUAACUCAACUUCCAUUUAACAUUUAUUUCUGUGAUGAACAGAAACAUUGUUUUUAACCCUGUAUAGAAGCAGGAAAUACAAACCUUGCUGUUUAAGGCAGCUGGAACUACUUUAUUGAAGUUCAUUUCUUUGAUAAGCGGGUGAAGGGGAGGGUAAAGAGAUGCUGAAAAUACUGCAAACCCAGCAAAGAGGAAUUAUGUUCAGGUGGAAAAGGGAAAAAAACAGUUGUGAAUUGGUCAAGAUAUUAGGUGGGGUCUGUUUUGCUCUCAGAGACUUCCUCAUCAUGAAGACAGAGCAGUUAGUCAAGGUUUAAAAGAUCAUGUCCCCACCAACCUUUGCUCACAGCCUGUCUACAAUGCUGGGCUGAGAGCACCCAGCUGGAAGGAGGUGAUUUACCUACCUGACAUGCCAGAGGAUAGCUCUUUGAAUAACUCUUUGCUGGGUUUAGAAAGACUUGGUGGAACACAACUACAAAGAAAGCCUGAAGCAUGUGAGACAUUUCUGAGGUUAUCUAGUGCACAUGUGGUUGGUUCUGCCAUUCCAGAGCUCCUGAUCCAGUCCUGUGCAGUAAGUACUGAACCAGAGACUUAUUUAUAGAGUUUGUGCACUUGGCUUUUGUGGUUCAUUGCUCCCAUUAUUAUCUCAACAGCGGUGAUUUGCUAAUCAGUCCUUUGUAGGACAGGACUAGUAUUGCUUUGGCUGUUUGAUGUUUAGAAAAAAAGAAGAAUGUAAUUCCAGCGUCCCAGAGGAGCAGGAGGCUUUGCAGAAUCUCCUAAUAUAUCUGGGUGUGAAUCUAUGUAAAUGGGUCAUAUUCACUGAACUGUGUGCCUGGAGCAGUAACAGUACCAUCACAGCUGAAGGUUCAGGACCAGGCACCUGCAUCCUCCUAAUUUUGAGGACUUUUGUGCUUUCUCUGCUCUACAGCUUCCAAGGAGGUUGAGUUGACCUCCGUGCUGGGCUCUCACGUUUCACUGGCCAAGUGAUGGGGUCCCAGCUGCCAGUUCUGCCCUGGGACCCACAGGAGCUCUGCCUCUUGGUGCCAUGGGGUUGCAUUUGUGACCUGGUGGUGCUCCAGCUGUGACCCGAGCCAAGGUUACUGUGUUUGCAUGUAGGCUUUGUGUUUGCUGUUUAAGGUGAGCGAGAGGCUCCGAAUUCCCUCGGUUGGGUCACCCUCUCUGUUUCCCAAUCCAGUGCAGAUGGCCAGACAGGCGGGCAGCUCUUCCUUGAAGACAUUACAAUUCUCCAGAGGUGUGCCAGUGUCUGGCAGCCGUGGUGUUGGCAAUGCACGGUGGACACAGAGUGGUCACAGCUGUUCAGUUGUAAACACUGUCCUCAGAGCCACCAACUCCUCUCAGCACCUCCCGGAGCCACUGCUCAGCACAAGGAUCCUGCACGAACGCGCCCAGCCCUGGCGUAUUCCUUCCAGGAGAGGGCAGGGGAAUACAGUUUAUCGCAGAUCCACUCCUGAGCUGGAGUCAACCUCCAUCCAACGCCACAUCUUCCUCUGCGUCUUUUCAUUUUGCUUUCCUAAACUUGGAUGAGCAGAAUGGGUUCUGACUCUCCUGCAGAAAUUCUGCCUGAGCAGAAAAAGAAGACUUUGGAUAUUUUUCUUGGGUGUAUUGAUGUCCAGCAGCCUGGUCAGGGCAGCAAUUUCCACAAGAGCUCUGGACACGCAGGAAUGCUGAAGGCAGUCACUGAGCCUCCACACAAGGGCUGUGCUGAAGAUUCCCAUGGAUUCUGUGUGCACAGCAAAGGGGAUCUGGACAUAGGUAAAAGGGAAAUCUCAGGGAAAAUUACAGAUGCCUUAGUUACUUUCCUCAUAUUUCCAUUACAUUUCACCUCCCAGCAGUAUUGAAACGCUGAGAUGCUCAGUAGGGUUCUUCAGAUGUGAAAAAGUACCAGAUCCCUCCUCCAUCACGACAUGCAGCCACACAGGGGCAGGUGCUGCCACAAGGGAUGGAGGCUGUGCAUCCCCUCCCACAGCAGCACCUUUGGAUCUGCUUGAGCCCACUGCAGAUUCUCACCUUCCUAUCUCCAGCCUCAGAAACAGCCAACAGCACAGCCCUGAUGCUGCACAGUGGGCAAAGGACCCAGCCUCCAGUGGUGCUUUUAGGGAACUGAAAAGGUUGUGGGCCCAGUAAAACAGAUGAAGCUUGUAAAGCAGAACUGGGAAAACACCAGUUAUUUCCACAUAAGGUAAAUAUGGGACUUCACUGCACCUCUAGCAAUUUAAAGAAAGUUCAGAACGACUGUGACUAAAAUAUGAAGACAUUGCCUUUUGCAAGUAAAAAAAUGCAAGUUAGAGAAAUGUCUAACAUGUCCCUGCGCCUAGGUAGAUUAUA